UACGUAGGGUGCGAGCGUUAAUCGGAAUUACUGGGCGUAAAGCGUGCGCAGGCGGUUUUGUAAGCCAGAUGUGAAAUCCCCGGGCUUAACCUGGGAAUGGCAUUUGGGACUGCAAGGCUGGAGUGUGGCAGAGGAGACUGGAAUUCCCGGUGUAGCAGUGAAAUGCGUAGAUAUCGGGAGGAAUACCGAUGGCGAAGGCAGGUCUCUGGGCUGACACUGACGCUCAUACACGAAAGCGUGGGGAGCAAACGGG
rnacentral:rRNA from 1 species